UCCCUGGUGGCUCAAAGGUUAAAGCAUCUGCCCGCAAUGCGGGAGACCCAGGUUUGAUCCCUGGAUUGGGAA
rfam:Ovis aries breed Texel chromosome 2, whole genome shotgun sequence.